rnacentral:rRNA from 1 species
UACGUAGGGGCAGCAGUCGUUCGGAUUCGAUUGGUGCGUAAAGAGCGUGUAGGCGGCCUGACAGGUCUGCUGUGAAAACUCGAGGCUCAACCUCGAGAUGUCGGCGGAAACCGUCUGGCUAGAGUCCGGAAGAGGAGAGUGGAAUUCCUGGUGUAGCGGUGAAAUGCGCAGAUAUCAGGAAGAACACCUAUGGCGAAGGCAGCUCUCUGGGACGGUACUGACGCUGAGACGCGAAAGCGUGGGGAGCGAACAGG